UAGUGGCUUCGCAAUAAACCUUUACAUCCGUGUGAAAGUUCGAAUUGUUUUCCAUUGCUCAGAGGUGGGAUGGGGUGGGGGUGAUCAGGAAUUCUGACAUUUGUAAGCGCUGCUUUCUUUAACGGAAAUUGAGCCCUAUUUUGAGGGAAAUUAGUUUUGCAGACUUCGUUUAAAAAAAAAAAAACCUAAAACUUUUGUUCACCAGCUGCUCAGCUUUUCAGUCUGGGUCUGAGCUGGAACCUGCUGCAAGCGUUUGACGAAACAAGUACCAAAUUACAUAUCUAUCUGUCAAAAUGAUGUAGGACCUAAAAUAUCUCUGUAAUUUGAUCCUCUUGACCUCCUGAUUAGGAGCUUCACAAUGGGUAUCGCACCUGGAAACCUCCAGAACAAGACCUCGAGGAAACACAGGAAAUUCCUGGAGUGGCUAAACAUCCUAUCUGAAGACAUUCAGUUACUCCUCUGUGUAUGAGGAGCAUCAUCAUUAAUUAACUGUUGAUAUGCAUGAAAGAGUUCAUUUAGCAACAGACUUUGCAAAGAAAAAAAAGAAGAGACACGUGUAAUAUUCAUGAUGGACUACACCAUGCUGUCACCAUGAAUUAAUAACCUCUAUAUCUCAUUGCCUUAGCAAAAGUUUAGUUCUUAUUCCUGCCAAUUCUGAUACAAGAUGGUUGGCUCUUCAGGCCACAACUGAUCCUGUGAAUUAGUCAACUUAACAUGUUUCUCCAAAGUACCACAGCCAGGGAAAAAGGAGGUGGAGGACCACAUACCGGCUCUUCAUACUUCAAUAGAGAGGUAACACAUGCUAUUUCUCCUCAUAGCUUAUAGGCCACAGCAAAGCCAUAUCCCUGCCAGGGGACUGGAAAAUACUCUGGAACACAUCUACUCUGGACAGUAGAUGUUUCUGCCAUGUCAAACUUCAAAUUUGUUCCCAAUAGGUCUAAUUCACACCCCUAAACAGUAUAUUCCUUGAGUCUUCUGGUGUAUGUGUUGGUGUUUGGCAUAAACUAAGCACUCAACAAAUACACUAAACAGAGCACUUAGGCCUGCAAGUUUCACUUUAUCCUUUUACUUUAGUUUCCACAUAGCUGCUGUAUCACAUCAGGAAAGUGGAACUGAACGUGACUGCAGAAAAAAGUUAACUAAUAAAGUGAUCAACCUAGCUUCAGUUUUGUCUUGUUUAUUGUUUUUGCCUUGAUUUUUGCUCUAGAGCUGAGGUUCAUUUUUAAUUUUCAUUGGAAUUAAAACAAUUGUGCCCUCAUAUAAUGCCAGUAAUUUGUGUUGUUUGGAAAAGUUGCCAUCAAGUGACUGCUGUUGUGUUGUAGCACCAGUCUCUAUAUAUAACUUAGGUUCAUGCUCUGUCAGAUGUUUUAUUAUAUUUCAGUCAGUGCUGUCUAUUCUGGAAAAUGGUUCAUAGCAUAGACUCUGGAGAUGACAGCCUGGGUUGUGUCUUGGUUUUUUUACUAGCAUUUUGAGUGUGAUGAGGUUAACUUUUUUGAAUCCAGGUUUCCUGAUCUCUAAAUAAAAGCAUUUAUUUAUAUA